AGUCUGUGAUGAUACCAAUGAAAGCUUGUUUCUCUAAACAUUCGCAGUGGCUGCCUAAGAGCAUGUUAAUGCUGCUUUUUCCUUCCUUGGAUGUAUGAGACU
rnacentral:snoRNA from 1 species